rnacentral:lncRNA from 1 species
CCUAACCUGACUAUCCAGCUCUCUCACAUGAGCUAGAAACCCCUGACAACCUCUCCUGAGCAACCUACGAGCCUGUAGGGCUGAUAUCAGACCUCUAGGCGUACCCCUCCUGUCUCCUCUGAAGACAACCUCUGACCCAUCCUGAUCUCUGAACCUGAUUACCUUGUCUCUGCAGUCCAAGGUAGCACCAUGAGCAGAUAGCCAAUCCAUCCCUAGAAUGA